CAGCCUCUGCUCUGGAUAAGGUGCGCUUGACUGGGAACCCCUGUGGAGCUAAACCUUACCUGCUAAGCAUUACAGCUCACAGAGGAAGUGUAUUGGAAGAAUCCAUCUGGAUGCGUCACUAUACUGAAGUUGCAAACGAAGCCCACAUCUUGCCAAGCAGCUGUGACUGUACUAUAGCAUCAUCCAUAGCUUUCCUGAGGAGGAGGAAAUCGCCCCGAUCCCGGCAGCUCAUUGCUACAGACUGAAGGGGUGAAAUGCCACCAGUCGACUCCAGCUCAGAGGGACAAUCAACCCAAGAUUUUGUACAUGAUUAAAGCCAGA